rnacentral:rRNA from 1 species
UACGAAGGGAGCUAGCGUUGUUCGGAAUCACUGGGCGUAAAGCGCACGUAGGCGGAUGUGUCAGUCAGGGGUGAAAUCCCGGAGCUCAACUCCGGAACUGCCUCUGAUACAGCACGUCUUGAGUCCGAUAGAGGUGGGUGGAAUUCCUAGUGUAGAGGUGAAAUUCGUAGAUAUUAGGAAGAACACCGGUGGCGAAGGCGGCCCACUGGAUCGGUACUGACGCUGAGGUGCGAAAGCGUGGGGAGCAAACAGG